rnacentral:lncRNA from 1 species
GAUAAUAGAGAUUGAGAUAAAGACAACUUUGUUACCUCCUGUUUAUCAUUUCAGCUGAAUACCCAAAAGACUUGGUCUCAUCCUGAAGGUGAGAAUCAGUAUAUGAACAUCAAUCAGAAAAAAUGCCUCCUGAUCCAAGAGUACUCACACUGAACACCCCAACCUUCUUUAGCUCUGGAAAAUUACUGAAGCCACCCACAGCGUGGUACAAAACAUGAUUGAAUUUGCUCAAGGUCAUGUCACUAGUUGACGUGGGCACUGGACACGACAGUGCCCUUCCCCAGUCCCCUGCACUAGCAAUGACCGUGUUCUCUAUUCUGAGUUGGAGAAGAUCAAAACCAGGGGUGGCUUCUAUGACAUUCUCUCUCUUUUUCAAAUCAUCAAAGUUAUUUUCCGGAAAAGAAGCAGAAUUUUAAAAUAAUGCUCAUGACAGAAGAAUAAGCACAAUAUGAUUUCUGAGAUAGGCAGAUACAAAAAAGAAAAACAUGAAAGCACACAUGAGAGGGCAGCAGAGAAAGAUAAGAAAAGGUUUUCCUGAAUGAUGUGAUAGAAAAACAGUAUGAAAAUAACAUGAAUCAGAGUCACUCCUGCUUUUUAGAAUGUGCAAAUUACAAGGUACCUGUGUUAUAAAAUUGAAUAAAGGAUUAACUUUAAUUAUAUGAUUAUGUUGUAGAUGGUUUUAUUUUAGUUUUUUUAAAUGUAAGAUUUCUUAAUGCAUUUAUAAUGCAAUAUAAUUUACCAAAAAAAAAUGAUUUAUGUAGAACUUCUGAUAAACAUAACUUGUUGAAAGUAAAAUGCACCAGGACAUGCCUGGACACGUCUUUGAAAAAUGAUCAGAAUCCAAAGGCAGAGCCUGUCACUCCUGGUUAUUUUUUCUUGUGUUCAGUUCACCCUGGCUGCACGUAGAGAUGGUUGAGUCUGUGAACUGGAGUUUGGCACUUGCCAUCUUGCUCUGCAUGGAUUAAAUCAUGAGCUGCUGCAACUGCCCACCUGCAGCACUCCCUGAGCAGAGCUCAGGGUGGAGAUCAGCAGUGAGACACUCUAUGCUCUGAGAAAACUGGAAUAACAGGUCUUCAGAUGGUUAGAUAUUUUAAGAAGACUUUCUGAGCCCAGUUCUUGCAUCUUCUUGUAUCCAGAAAAACACUAAAACCCUUAAUGAUGACUGAAGUCUGUGACUAAUACUAACCUUCAAGAGACCAGCAGCAAACUUCUGCGAAAUGUAGGCAAGGCUGCGUGCACCUCCCCUUUCACCUUUAUCACAUAUAUCCUGAUAUUUUCCCUUUCCUCUUAGGGGAGGUAUUUCAGAGCUGUCUGAAGUACCAUUGCCCAGGCUAUUCUUUUUUAAAAAAACAAAAAGAUGUCAGGGUCAUCUCUGAAUGCAGCUACUCCCAAAGGUGAGCCUGUGAGCCCUGAGGGAACUCAGGAAGGAAACAAAGAAGACUGGCCCCAGAGCCGAGGUGCAUAUCAAAGGAGUGACUCUAGUAAGCCCAGACCUUUGCAUCUUCCCAAAGAAACAAUUCCUUAUCUUGAGAUAACUGGUUUUCUGUGACCUUUUGUUCUUGCUACCUGUCUGUAUAUCCUAGCUUCCUGCCCUCAGCUCCUCAAGGUGGGUAUUCUCAGGGCUACCUGGGAUGCUGUCUCCUGGGCUUAAGUCCUAAUGUGGCCCCAAAUAAAACUUAACUCACAACUUUCGAGUUCUGCAAUUUUUUUUUUAUUAAGUCAACAAUUCCAAUGUGGUUAACAAUGAACACACCCUCCUAGGAAGCAGAGGAUUCACAUAUAAUUCUAAAACUAGGGGUAUGAUUUUAGCAAGUCAAAUCCCUUUUUGCAAGCUAUUAAAUGUAUUUUGGAAGACAGAUUAAAUGUAUCUUACCAUGCAGUCUUAAAUAAUGAAUAGAGACAUGCUUUAAGAACCAUAUCUAUAUAUGUUUCUUAUUAUAAUAAUUUUAAUAAACCUUGGCUUAAGAAUUGAUUUUUUUUCUCCUUUGAUAAAACACUCUUCUCUUGUUUAUAUGCUGUACUGUCCUUCAUGUCAAGUGGCUGACUCAGGUGUGAAUCUUUGUGAUCCCUUGCUAAGCCAUCUUGUUCAUUUGCGUUACACGUUCUGUUUUUCUUUUCUGUGUCCUCAUGUUUAUGCAGUUCAGCAGUGCUCUAAAUUGAAUGUCAUUUUCCAAACACAUUUUCUGAGAUUGCAUGGUGAGAACCAAUAUUAUCUCCCUCUUCAGAUUCAGUAUAAAUUGCCUUUGUCUUUUUGAUACCAUGUCAUAUUGUAAAGUUAUACCCAAUUUGUGUGUUGAGAAUACCAAGUGGAUAUGAGCGGGGCAUUGAGAGUUCUGAGUUCUAGUCCUGACUGUAACUCAUCCCCUUGUGACUUUGUGACUUGAAGAAUAUAACUGACUCAUUCAUUCAUUUAGACACAUGUACCUGAAGUACCUUCUAAGAGAAUGCAAAAAUGAGUAAAACAUGGUUCCUGUUGCCAUUGAGUUCAUGUCCUCAUGGUAAAAACAGAUGCAAAUAAAUCAGCAAAGUGCUCACUGGUAAAUGAAAUCUGUGUGAAGCAUGUGAGAGCACUGGAAAGACCAUGAUGAGUUCUGCCUACAGGUUUGUUGGAACAGUGGGUAUUUUUUGAACUGGGUCUUAGCAGCCGAAUUAUAUUGCCAACAAAAGAAAGGGGAAGUAUACUUCAAAUAGGGAUGUGUGAUGAUUUUGUGGAGCAAGGAGGAGAAAGGAUGGAGAUAAGGCUGGAGAGGUGGAAGGGUAUGACUUUGGGUGAAUUUGGAUCAUGUAGCCCAUGGGAACACAGGCACUGUUGCCUUUGUUCUAGCCUGUCCGUCUCAACUAGGAAUGGCUUUGUCUUUUUAGUGAACCUCUCUCUCCCACAACAAUCUAGAACUCCUAUUGUUCUUAUUAGCACUAAGAAAAAAUUUAAUUAUGUAUUUAUUUAUUUAUUGCCAUAGUAUGUCUUUCACCAGAUAUACCCUGAGGUAAGAGAUCAUGUAUAUUUUCAUUAUGAUAAAAUCAGCAUCUUUCAUAUACACGAUAGAUAUAUUUUAAAAGAAUGAAUAAAUCAAUACCUAUAGAACAGGAGCAUGUCUUCCAUGCAAGAUAUUUGCGUGAUUCUUGUUCUGUCAUUUCGGCUUUGGAAUGAUCAUAGCAACAGUUGUGUGAGAGGCAGUGUGAAGGGGACAGACAAAAGGCAUGACUAGCCAAACCCAAAAUAGUUAUUUAACUCAUGUGUAAAAUUAAUAAACAGGUAUCUUUUCCCAAAAUGACUAAGGAAGAUGCAUAUUGAAAAUGAUACCAACAGCAGGCACCUAGGAGUUUGGUUCAGUUUUUCCUGCUUUAGUGCUAUGUCACCGUGGACACUUUAAUGUUUCCGGAUGUCAAGUUCUUCAACUGUAAAAUUAAGCAAUUAAAGUGUAAUUAUCUCUAAAUCUCUGUGUAGUUUUAACAUGUCAUGGUGACAAAAUAGUUAACCAAAUGACAUAAAGUAUAUAGAAUUAGUAAUAUAAAUGGAAAAAAUUUGGAAGAAAUGCAUACUCUUAUAUAACAGCCUGUAAUUUUCAAAUACGUAACUUAUGUUGAUUUAGAAUUAGCUUCUUUUCUUUCUUAAACCAUGUUAUAUUUGUGUCUGGAUACAGUUUUUCCCCUGGGAUGUUAAAUGUAAGCGUGAAAAUAAAUAUCUUCUGCUUUCUCACAUGUUUGUCUGCCAUGCCUGGGUGUUCAGGUUGUGUACUGUACAAAGAAGGCACGCCUCAGAGGAAUGCAAUUCACAUUCUUGGAUGUGGAAAUUCUGGGCUUUCAGCCCAAGUCAUAGAUCAGAAAGGGAGAAAUCCUGUGUAAACCUGUUUUGCACCCAUUCCUGUUCACUCAUACUCUUGCCCUAAAUGUGUUCUAGGUGUACCCUGAGGUUUCUUUCUCUCACUUACCCUUAUUCGGAGUCCUGAUUCUUUCUUUUCAUCCAGUUCCUGACUUGAUAUGGUCAUCACACCUGAAUGGGGAGAUGGAAGGGGACAGGAUGUGUUCUCUGGUAACAGCACAUGUGUCCUUGUAGUGCCUGGAAUGUGUGUGGAUAGGGCCAAUUUUGGGGCAUGGGUGCAUAUGCAGCCGGUGUGCUGCUACCAGCUUCCGAAGAGUUUUCCUGAGCAUAGCUGUGAAGGAUAUGAAAAAUAUAAUUGAAAAAAGUUUGCCUGAUGAAAAGAUGCCUUGUUCUAAUUUGCACAAAAGUAUUUCAUUGGGUCAGAAGAAAUCCUUGUCUUUCCUUAAAUAAGUUCACAGGUGUUUAGUUAGCCCUUGCUGUCAUCUGAGGCACUCUGCUUACCUAUAGCUGUGUUUUUGACCACUUGUGUAUGGCCAUCACCAGUGACUUUUUACUGUCUUUUUACUACAAGGAAAUCUGAAUGGUUCACCUCUUCCCUGACUCAUUUCGUAUUUAUGUUAUACUUAUAUGCUAUUUAGGUCUGCACAUCAAGAAAUGAUAUUGGGCAUAAGGCAAGGAGAAUUUUUAAAUUAAUAAUGUAUCAAAUAACUACAGUAGUUUUUGUUUGUUUUGUUUUUUGUUAGGAAAGGCGAUUCUUCCAAAAGAGACAUUUAGAAACCGGUUUCAGCAGAUUUUGAUAUUUAGUUAUAUUGCUCUCUCUGUCAAUGACCACUCAAUCAACACAUAGUUUAUAAAGAGAGUUAGGGUACCUCACUCAUGCAGCAUCAGGCAAGGCAUUUCUGGAGAAGGUCUAUGUGUUAGUCAGCGCUUCCAAAUAGAAUAGAUAGAAUUUUUAAAUUUUUAAAUGCACUAGAGAGAAAUGCAUAAAAAAGGUGAUACAGGAGUUCCCGUCGUGGCUCAGUGGUUAACGAAUCCGACUAGGAACCACAAGAUUGCCGGUUCGAUCCCUGGCCUUGCUCAGUGGGUUAAGGAUCCAGUGUUGCCGUGAGCUGUGGUGUAGGUCACAGAUGUGGCUCGGAUUCCCCUGUUGCUGUGGCUCUGGCGUAGCCCGGUAGCUCCAGCUCCGAUUAGAUCCCUAGCCUGG